UAUUAAAAUUGAUUUUUAAAAGGCAUUUUUCUUUAUUUUGCUUCUCAUAAAUCCCAUUUUUCUAAGUCACAUAAGAUGAAGAAAAAUUAUAUGCUAACUAUGUGAACAAUAUGGUAAAUAUGGUAAAAAUGCUGUUUUUAGCCAGUUCCUGACUUCUCAGUAAACUGAACACUAAUAAUGUAAGUACUGCCAUGUAUCGAAUAUUGACAUAGUUGGAUUAAUCUCUACCACAUUUGUUACUCUUUUUUAUUUGCUGUCUUUGUUCUUUGUUCCUGUUUUUGUCUUCCACUAUUUUACUGCCUUUUUUGGUUUUAAUUGAGCAUUCUAUGAGAUCCCACUUUUCUCUCCUUUCUUAGCAUUUCAGUUAUACUUCUUUUUGAACUUUUUUAGUGGCCCUAGAAUUCUCAGUAUACAUUUAUAAUUCAUUCAAGCCCAUGUUGGAAAAGCACCACACCACUUCAUAGUGUGAGCGCCUUAUAGUAACAAAAUAACCCUAUUUCCUCCCUUCAGUCCUUUGUAGCAUUCCUUACUUUCAUUUCAUUUGUAUAUAAGCACCCAUAAGCACACAUGUAUAUAAAAUAUAUACAUCAGCGUAUGUAAUCAAAUACAUUGUUGCCAUUAUUUUAAACAUACUGUUGGUUGUUAGAUCAAUUAAGAAUAUGAGGAAUAAAAUUUUUUAUCUUCACUUACUCUUUACUGAUGUUCUUCCUUUCUUUUGUAGAUCCCAGUUUCUGACCUAUAUUAUUUUCCUGCCCUCUAAAGACUUUUUUUUUUGACAUUUCUUGUAAGACAGGUCUACUUGGCAAUAGAUUCCCUCAAUUUUGGUUUGUCUAUGAAAGUUUUUCUUUCUCUUGCCCUUUUGAAGGAUAAUUUCAAAGGGUACAGAAAUCUCAGCUGGAGGGUUUUAUUUCUCUAAGAACUCUGAAUAUUUCACUCCACUUUCUUGUUUGCAAAGUUUCUAAGAUGUUGGAUGUAACCCUUAUCUUUGUUCCUCUGCAGGGAAAGUGUUAUUUUUCUCUGGCUUCUUUCAAGAUUUUUUCUUUAUCUUUGAUUUUCUGAUAGUUUGAAGGUGAUAUGCCCACAUGUAGAUUGUGUUGGCAUUUACCCUGAUGUUUUCUGAGCUUCCUGGAUCUGUGUUUUGGUGUCUGACUUUAAUUUGGGGAAAUUCUCAGUCACUGUUUUUUUCCAUUUUUAUGUUCCUUUCUCCCUUCCAUCUCCUUCUGGUAUUCCCAUUACACGUAUGUUAUGUAUUUUGUGACUGUCUUGCAGUCCUUGGAUAUUCUGUUCUGUUUUCUUCAGUCUUUGUUCUCUUUACUUUUCUCUUUUGGAGGUUUCUAGUGACAUGUCCUCCAGCUCAUAGAGUCUUUCCUCAUCUGUGCAUAGCCUACUAACAAGUCUAUCUAAGGCAUUCUUUAUUUCCGUUACAGUGUCUGUUUAUCUCUAGCAUUUCUUUUCAGUUCUUUCUUAGAGUUUCCCCCUCUCUGCUGACAUUGCCCAUCUGUUCUUGCCUGCUGUCUACUUUGCCCAUUUACAGCCCUUAGCAUAUUAGUCACAGUUGUCUUAAAUUCCUAGUCUCAUAGUUCCAACAUUCUUGCCAUGUCUGGUUCUGAUGUGUUCUCCUUCUCUUCAGAAUGUAGAUUUGUUUAUUUGUUUUUUUUGCCUUUUGGUAUGCAUUGUUUUUAUUUUGAUGGUGAGACAUAACGUACCAGUAAAAAGACUUGCAAUAAAUCGGCCUUAGUAACAUGGUGGUGGGGUGGAAGGGGAAGCAUCCUGUAGCCCUGUGAUUAGAUCUCAGAAUAAAUGAGCUAAUGCCUCUGGGCUGUGUGAGCCUCACAAGUGAUCCUGAGUUUUCUCUCUUCUCUUAGGUGGGACAGGAUUGCUAGAGCGGGCUGGAGUUGGGUAUUUGUCUUCUCAGCUCAGUUUUGCUCUGACGAUCCCCCAGCAGGACAGACUCAGGUUAACUAGUUUCCCCUGAGGGCAGCCCUGUUAAGAACAGAGUACUCUGGUGUACUCCAGAUGGUUACUUUCCCCCUCUCACUGCUGGAGCCCGAGGAGAUUUUUCUCUGAUAUUUACUGUGGAAGCCUUGUCACAGUCCUGGAGAUUGACCUACCCCGUGACUGAAUUUUGCAAUGAAUCCUUAUCAGGUUGUUAUACACCAUUGCAACUGGGCACCUUAAAAUUAGAUGGAAGGAACAGAGGAUGUUGCCAGAGGAUGUGCUGACUGGAUAAAAAACACAUGGAAGCUGCCCAGAGAAGCUUUAGGCCCCUCACAGGGCCCAAGACACACUCGCUGACAGUUGCUGGAAGUCCAGUGGAAAUCUGCUGGGGUCCUGAAAUGGAGCAAGGCUUGAGGAGAGCUGUUUACCUGGAGUGAGUGUCUUUCUUUAUUCUCUAAAAUUUCAACUCUUUGACUUCCAAGAACAUCUGAUUCAGAUAAUCAUAUCUUAUUAAUUCUGUAUAUUGCUGCUGUUGUUCAGUUGAUAAGUUGUGUCUGACUCUUUGUGACCUCAUGGACUGCAGCACGCCAGGCUUCCCUGUCCUUUACUAUC